GACGAACGCUGGCGGCGUGCCUAAUACAUGCAAGUCGAGCGCAGGAAAUCGACGGAACCCUUCGGGGGGAAGUCGACGGAAUGAGCGACGGACGGGUGAGUAACACGUAAAGAACCUGCCCUCAGGUCUGGGAUAACCACGAGAAAUCGGGGCUAAUACCGGAUGGGUCAUCGGACCGCAUGGUCCGAGGAUGAAAGGCGCUCCGGCGUCGCCGGGGGAUGGCUUUGCGGUGCAUUAGCUAGUUGGUGGGGUAAUGGCCCACCAAGGCGACGAUGCAUAGCCGACCUGAGAGGGUGAUCGGCCACACUGGGACUGAGACACGGCCCAGACUCCUACGGGAGGCAGCAGUAGGGAAUCUUCCACAAUGGACGAAAGUCUGAUAGAGCAACGCCGCGUGAACGAUGAAGGCCUUCGGGUCGUAAAGUUCUGUUGUAAGGGAAGAACAAGUGCCGCAGGCAAUGGCGGCACCUUGACGGUACCUUGCGAGAAAGCCACGGCUAACUACGUGCCAGCCGCCGCAGUAACAC
rnacentral:rRNA from 1 species